GACGAACGCUGGCGGCGUGCUUAACACAUGCAAGUCGAACGAAGUGGCGAACGGGUGAGUAACGCAUAAUCAACCUGCCCUUCAGAGGGGGACAACAGUUGGAAACGACUGCUAAUACCGCAUACUGAAGGAGGGGAUUGCGUCUGAUUAGAUAGUUGGCGGGGUAACGGCCCACCAAGGCGAUGAUCAGGCGCCGGUCUGGGAGGAUGCACGGCCACAUGGGGACUGAGACACGGCCCAGACUCCUACGUGAGGCAGCAGUGGGGAAUCUUCCGCAAGGGAUGAAAGUCUGACGGAGCAACGCCGCGUGAGUGAUGACGGCCUUCGGGUGGUAAAGCUCUGUUAAUCGGGACGCGGUACCGGAAUAGAAAGCCACGGCUAACUACGUGCCAGCAGCCGCGGUAAUUC
rnacentral:rRNA from 1 species